rnacentral:rRNA from 1 species
AGCGAACGUUAGCGGCAGGCCUAACACAUGCAAGUCGAGCGAGAAAGAGGACUUCGGUCCUCGAGUACAGCGGCGUACGGGUGAGUAACACGUGGGUAAUCUGCCCUUCGGUGGGGGACAACAACCCGAAAGGGUUGCUAAUACCGCAUUCGCCGGCAUGACCUGUGGAUUAUGCCGGGAAAGUGGGCCUCUACUUGUAAGCACACGCCGAAGGAGGAGCCCGCGUCCCAUCAGCUAGNGGUAGGGUAAUGGCCUACCAAGGCAAAGACGGGUAGCUGGUCUGAGAGGAUGAUCAGCCACACUGGGACUGAGACACGGCCCAGACUCCUACGGGAGGCAGCAGUGGGGAAUAUUGGACAAUGGCGAAAGCCUGAUCCAGCCAUGCCGCGUGAGUGA